AGGAAGAAACUAAUUGUCUCCUAACCACAUGGAGCUGAUGGAACUCUAUCAGAACAUUCCUUGCCUGUUGACCACAUGACCACAGAGGCCAAGGGAAGCAGCCCUCCAGAGAGGCUCAGCAGGUGACUGUGACAAGCAGAGACCGGAAGUCGGCAUUGAGUGAACUGUGGCUUCUCAGAAAGAAGCUGAGGAACUCACGGAUGUUGAUGUGUUCUUUCUCCUCGGGAGCAGAAAUGACACAAAGACAACCAUAUCACCAAAUGCACCACAGCAAGGGUGAGAACUCAUGAGAGGUGAGAACCUGGAGCAAACCACACAGCAGGCAGGCAGCUCAACAGUUUGGAGAGUGUCUCUUCCAGACAGCUCAGUUGAUCUAAGAGGACCUCUCAACAGACUUUGUUGCUUACAUAAGCUUGGGAAUGGAGCAUCUUGACCUGUCUGGCCAGUUUCCAGGAUUUCUUAUAGCUCUUGAGUUGUUCACUAACUGAAUUUUAAGGAGAUAUCCUGCAAGUUGGAAUAUUUCACCUCCUUUUAGAACAUCCUUGGUUUUAUGACUUUCUCUCUUUGAUAGUGGUCCACUUUGGAGGAAACUGCUAUACAGCACACACAGACACGGACCCCCAUAGUACACUCACUCUCUCUCUCUCACACACACACAAACACAAACACACACACCCUAUUUGUGGCCCAGGAUGUGGACCAUUACUACAUGUGAAGUUAUCUGCAUCAUUGCCUGACCAUGGAGUUCCAAUUCCCAAAACUGUGAGAAAUUCAUCUCUGUGGUUUAAGCCACCCAGUCUGUGGUAUGCAUUUAUACGAGGCUGAGUUGACUAAUAUUGCAUUCAUCUCCAUAACUUCAAAACAAACUCUGACAAUUAAUUGCAGAAGUUACCACUCACACCAAUCCAUCCACUCUGUCUUAUGCAAACAAGCUCAGCCGCAUUUAGAAUGUCCACUGGAAUUCUCAAAUCAAAGUCCAUGUUUAGAAAGGAAAGAAGAGUACAAUUAUAACAAUAUCCCAUGAAUUGAUCUUAUUCAGUGUCUAAGUUGGUUGUCACUAUCAACUCACCACAACCUAAAGUCAUCUGGGAUGAGGAAGCCUCAACUGAAGACUUACUGAGAUCAGAUUGAUUGAUGAUUGAUUGACGUGUGGGGGCCCAGCCCACUGUGAGUGGCACCAUCUCUAGAUAGGGGCUUCUGGGUUCUAAAAGAAAACUAGCUAAGUAUGAGCCAGUGAGCAACUAGUAAGCUAUGAGUAGGUCUACCUCAUCUAUGAACUGUUAGAGCAGAUGAAGGAGACUAACCUGUACCCAAAAGAGCAGCAUCUCCACAACAGAACAACAGGGUAUCCAAGAAGAGCCCCAGUGAGAGCCCAUUACCAGUGGUCUAGCAGAAGCCAGGGGCCUCAAACCUGACCAACAACGCAUGGCAAUGAACACUUGAAAGUAAAGAUGAAUGGACUAAAGGGUAAACUGUGUGAUUCAACCAGCCACAUUACAGCUUCCAUAACAGGAUUCUUCUCUUUUUCUUCUGUCUUGUUUUUUUUUUGUUUGU